rnacentral:rRNA from 1 species
AUUGAACGCUGGCGGCAUGCCUUACACAUGCAAGUCGAACGGUAACGGGCCUUCGGGUGCCGACGAGUGGCGAACGGGUGAGUAAUACAUCGGAACGUGCCCGAUCGUGGGGGAUAACGAGGCGAAAGCUUUGCUAAUACCGCAUACGAUCUACGGAUGAAAGCAGGGGACCGCAAGGCCUUGCGCGGACGGAGCGGCCGAUGGCAGAUUAGGUAGUUGGUGGGAUAAAAGCUUACCAAGCCGACGAUCUGUAGCUGGUCUGAGAGGAUGAUCAGCCACACUGGGACUGAGACACGGCCCAGACUCCUACGGGAGGCAGCAGUCGGGAAUUUUGGACAAUGGGCGCAAGCCUGAUCCAGCCAUGCCGCGUGCAGGAUGAAGGCCUUCGGGUUGUAAACUGCUUUUGUACGGAACGAAAAGCCUUCUUUUAAUACAGGAGGGUCAUGACGGUACCGUAAGAAUAAGCACCGGCUAACUACGUG